rnacentral:siRNA from 1 species
UCGUUUGCCUGUCGCUGGUUCAAC